rnacentral:rRNA from 1 species
GGAAGAGCCCAAACCAACAAGCUUGCUUGUUGGGGUUGUAGGACACUCUAUACGGAGUUACAAAGGACGACAUUAGACGAAUCAUCUGGAAAGAUGAAUCAAAGAAGGUAAUAAUCCUGUAGUCGAAAAUGUUGUCUCUCUUGAGUGGAUCCUGAGUACGACGGAGCACGUGAAAUUCCGUCGGAAUCUGGGAGGACCAUCUCCUAAGGCUAAAUACUCUCUAGUGACCGAUAGUGAACCAGUACCGUGAGGGAAAGGUGAAAAGCACCCCGGAAGGGGAGUGAAAUAGAACCUGAAACCGUGUGCUUACAAGUAGUCAGAGCCCGUUAAUGGGUGAUGGCGUGCCUUUUGUAGAAUGAACCGGCGAGUUACGAUUUGAUGCAAGGUUAAGCAGUAAAUGUGGAGCCGUAGCGAAAGCGAGUCUGAAUAGGGCGUUUAGUAUUUGGUCGUAGACCCGAAACCAGGUGAUCUACCCUUGGUCAGGUUGAAGUUCAGGUAACACUGAAUGGAGGACCGAACCGACUUACGUUGAAAAGUGAGCGGAUGAACUGAGGGUAGCGGAGAAAUUCCAAUCGAACCUGGAGAUAGCUGGUUCUCUCCGAAAUAGCUUUAGGGCUAGCCUCAAGUGAUGAUUAUUGGAGGUAGAGCACUGUUUGGACGAGGGGCCCCUCUCGGGUUACCGAAUUCAGACAAACUCCGAAUGCCAAUUAAUUUAACUUGGGAGUCAGAACAUGGGUGAUAAGGUCCGUGUUCGAAAGGGAAACAGCCCAGACCACCAGCUAAGGUCCCAAAAUAUAUGUUAAGUGGAAAAGGAUGUGGCGUUGCCCAGACAACUAGGAUGUUGGCUUAGAAGCAGCCAUCAUUUAAAGAGUGCGUAAUAGCUCACUAGUCGAGUGACACUGCGCCGAAAAUGUACCGGGGCUAAACAUAUUACCGAAGCUGUGGAUUGUCCUUUGGACAAUGGUAGGAGAGCGUUCUAAGGGCGUUGAAGCAUGAUCGUAAGGACAUGUGGAGCGCUUAGAAGUGAGAAUGCCGGUGUGAGU